rnacentral:lncRNA from 1 species
UAUAUAUAUAUAUAUAUAUAUUAUCAAAUCUGACUACAUCACAGCACAAACAUCAAAUUCAAGUUCCAUCAUCAAAUUUACAAAUUCAAAACUUCUAUCAUAACAAGUUUCACAAGUUUGUCAAAUCCAAAAAUUACACUCUUUCUACAGAUCUAAAAUCCAUAAAAAAAAUCUAAUAUACUAGCUAGCUAGAACUGCAAUCAAAAUCCAUCAUCGAAGAGCAAGAAAUAAGAUCCUUGCCUUACAAGCUUAGGCUUGUAGAAGAUCAAUGGUGUCCUCGUCCUACAUCUGCCUCAGCUCUAGCAACAACAGAAUUUUGGCUUCCUGUGUUCAGAGGCGCAAAGAAAUGAGAACUCAACAGAAGAUCUCCAGCGACCAAAUCAAAACUUAUCUCUUAAAAAUCAAAACUAGAUUGCAAGAAGGAUAUAUAUUGUUCAGAACAAGAACCAAGUACAAGUGCAUUCUAAUUAAUUUUAGUAUAAGGCAAUUAGCAAAAUAUAAAUAGUGAGAGGAAGCAAUUAAUAGAAAACUAAUUUACUACUUGUGAAUCCAGUAAGUAUACCUCAAAGAAAUAUAUGUCAAAAAAUAGCAAGCACACAUGAAGUGGUGAAAUACCUGAUGAUAGGCGUUGGAUUGUUGUUAGACCUCUACGACAUGGAUAUAUAUCCAGUACUACCUGCCAAAUGAUAGCAUAAGGAUUGUGCCAUUUAUUUUAUUAUCUAAAUGUUAGGAACACUAUCAAGUUACAAAUCAUAUUGUGACAUCUUCCUACAUUUGCAGUAGUCAUACUAAUUCUAUGCCUAAAAAACAAUGCUACCCAGUACGGAUAUACAAUUUUAGUAGAAAACUAACAAAUAGAUGAUGACAAAGGUGCAGCUUAAACCUUUUCCUUUUACUGGAGAAAUUAAAUGACUAAUCAUGCAUUGCCAACACAACUUUGAAACUAGGACUGAUAAAGUCCAACCUAUCCAGCCUAAUAAGACAUUGCUCCGAUCUGCCUCCACUACCACAAUGUAAGGUCGUGCUAGACACUUCCACCUACUGUGAAGUAACAGGUUCAUGAUGAAGAGUUUCUAAAAUGCAAUCCAAUAUUAUUUCUUCAACCAUAUCAAAACCACUCAGAGUCAUCAAUAGAUGCAAGAAGCACAGCCAUAAGGUGCAACUCACUUGUGGAAACCAUCUAUGACUUUGGUGUUAAUCUGCAGCACAAUGAACUUGCUGCUAAAUCCUGACUCCC